GGCCUAACACAUGCAAGUCGGACGGUAACAGGAAGGAGCUUGCUUCUUUGCUGACGAGUGGCGGACGGGUGAGUAAAGUCUGGGAAACUGCCUGAUGGAGGGGGAUAACUACUGGAAACGGUGGCUAAUACCGCAUAAUGUCGCAAGACCAAAGAGGGGGACCUUCGGGCCUCUUGCCAUCGGAUGUGCCCAGACGGGAUUAGCUGGCAGGUGAGGUAAUGGCUCACCUGGGCGACGAUCCCUAGCUGGUCUGAGAGGAUGACCAGCCACACUGGAACUGAGACACGGUCCAGACUCCUACGGGAGGCAGCAGUGGGGAAUAUUGCACAAUGGGCGCAAGCCUGAUGCAGCCAUGCCGCGUGUAUGAAGAAGGCCUUCGGGUUGUAAAGUAC
rnacentral:rRNA from 1 species